rnacentral:rRNA from 1 species
AAGCAUAUCAAUAAGCGGAGGAAAAGAAACCAACAGGGAUUGCCUCAGUAACGGCGAGCGAAGCGGCAAAAGCUCAAAUUUGAAAGCUAGCGUCUUUUAGGCGUUCGCAUUGUAAUUUGAAGAUGGCAACUUUGGUGGCGGCUCUUGCACAUGUUCCUUGGAACAGGACAUCAUAGAGGGUGAGAAUCCCGUACAUGGUGAGAGUACCGUCGCUUUGUAAAGUGCUUUCUAAGAGUCGAGUUGUUUGGGAAUGCAGCUCUAAGUGGGUGGUAAAUUCCAUCUAAGGCUAAAUAUAGGCGAGAGACCGAUAGCGAACAAGUACAGUGAUGGAAAGAUGAAAAGAACUUUGAAAAGAGAGUGAAAAAGUACGUGAAAUUGUUGAAAGGGAAGGGCUUGAGAUCAGUCUUGGCUUGUAGUGAUCAACUGUCUUUCGGGACUGUGCACUCGCUACUUGCUGGGUCAGCAUCAGUUUUGGUGGUAGGAUAAGAACAAUUGAAUGUGGCUUUCCUUCGGGGAAGUGUUAUAGCUUUUGUUGAUACUGCCAACCGGGACUGAGGACCGCGCUUCGUGCUAGGAUGCUGACAUAAUGAUCUUAAGCCA